GAUUUUUUCUGUGUUUGAUUAUGAAACCCUAUCUACUAACAUAUUAAAACACUGUGCAAAAAGUGAUGUUACUUGAACUUAUAUUCUACUUAUGUAGAGCUUUCUAAUAUUUCAUCUUUCCAAGGAAGAGGGACAUUAUUCUUGGUUUAAUUAUUUUUUAAUUUAAUAUCUCUGGAUAUUUUUCAUAUUUAGUUUGCGUACAACAGUUAACAACUUUAAGCUUAUACAUUAACUUUAGUUAUAACUUAAUUAUUAAUGAUUUGAUUUAUAGAUUUUUAAAGCAAUACAAGAUUGAAUUUAGCAUAAGGCUAAAUUUCUGCUCUGGAGACAAAAAAGGAAGACAGCGAAAAUGACCAGUCAAAAUAAAGGUUGAAGAGACAAAAAAUUGUGUAUAUCUUAGUGUAGAUGAUUUAUCCACAUUUUCUUAUAAUAAAACAAAAAAUAUUAUUAAACUUUUGGAUUUACCUGUAACUCCAAAAUUUUUACAGAAGUUUAAUGUUUGCUCUGAGAAGUUGAAUGAACAAAAUUAUUAAAUGUGUUCAUUCUUAGUCGUCAUUGAAGUACAACUUGAUAAACUACAAAACACAUCAAAUUCAGUUAUAAAAAUUUGAGUAACAAAGGUAUACUAAUUAUUGUAUUGCCUGAAAGAGUGUCAUUGCUAUUAAAAGCAGUGAAGAAUUCAAGUACUCUGGAAGAAAAGAAAAUACGUAAGUAAAUGGUCAAUUAUUUGGUACAAAUCGGAGUUAAAGACAAAGGAGAUUGUAUAUUUUAUUUGCUAAGAAUAGUUUUUUAAAAUGGCCUAGUUGUAAAAUUAAACAAUGCAGGGAGAGGACAAAAAAUUGGAAUAGAAAAAAUGUUGAUUGCAUAUGCUGCUAUUGAAACUGUGAAUUC
rnacentral:lncRNA from 1 species